CAUGCAAGUCGAACGAAGUAUUUUUGUAGCAAUACCGAAAUGCUUAGUGGCAAACGGGUGCGUAACACGUAGGUUACAUUCCGGAAAGUGAGGGAUAGCCCAGGGAAACUUGGAUUAAUACCUCAUGUGAUCGCAAGAUCAAAGGCGAAAGCCGCUUUCCGAUUGGCCUGCGCCCUAUCAGCUAGUUGGUGAGGUAAUGGCUCACCAAGGCAACGACGGGUAGCUGGUCUGAGAGGACGACCAGCCACACUGGAACUGAGACACGGUCCAGACACCUACGGGUGGCAGCAGUCGAGAAUCUUUCACAAUGGGGGCAACCCUGAUGGAGCGACGCCGCGUGGAGGAUAAGGUCUUCGGAUUGUAAACUCCUGUCAUGCGAGAGCAAGGCAUAGUAAUACGUUUGAUAGUAUCGCAAGAGGAAGAGACGGCUAACUCUGUGCCAGCAGCCGCGGUAAUACAGAGGUCUCAAGCGUUGUUCGGAAUCACUGGGCGUAAAGGGUGCGUAGGCGGCGGAGUAAGUCGGGUGUGAAAUUUGAGGGCUCAACCCUUAACUUGCACCUGAUACUGCUUCGCUCGAGGCCUGAAGAGGAGCUUGGAAUUCUCGGUGUAGCAUUGAAAUGCGUAGAUUUCGAGAAGAACGCUCGCAGCGAAAGCGAAGCUCUGGUCAGGAUCUGACGCUGAGGCACGAAAGCUAGGGGAGCAAACGGGAUUAGAUACCCCGGUAGUCCUAGCUGUAGACGGUGCGCGUUUGGUGUUGGGGAGUUAGACCUCCUCAGUGCCGAAGCUAACGCGUUAAACGCGCCGCCUG
rnacentral:rRNA from 1 species